ensembl:lincRNA
AUUGUUUACUCUUGCAAUCAACAUACCUAUGCCAGACUUUGACUGCACAGUGAAAGGAAAAGGAGCUGUGGAGCUCUCACUUCAGAGACCAGAUGCAUUGCUAAUAUUAAAGCUUCAGGGUGAAGUUCUUGGCCCAGAAGUUAAGGACAUAAGUGCUGAUCCAGGUUAAUAGCGAAUUCAGCAAUCAGUUUGUCCUGCCAAAGACUCUGAAUGCGAUAUGUUACUGCCACUAGGAACUUCGGUGGCUGGUACAGAGACAAGUGGUAAAAACGCACAUUUUGGUAGAAAGAACCUUAAACUGGAUAUGUGGAUUAUGAAUUCAGAGAAGACUGAAUUGCACUGUUGUCCUUAUCUCUCACUCUUGGAUUAUUUACAUGAAAUUGCUGACCUAUGUCUUCUCACGUUGUGAAAGCGACAAACGACCGAGCGAGAAGGGAAAGGAGCAAUGCGGGACAAACAGACACCUCGGCGAAGACUGGUGGCCAUCCCAGUGCUGCGCUCUGGCGGUGCAGCGCAGGCGGGCUCUUCCUCUGGGAGCCAGAAAAUUGCCUCACAGUCUUACAGGCUCAAUCCCAAGAACCUAUGGACAUGAAGAGAUACUGUCGUCGUACGCCACAGUCAUCCCUAAGACAGGGACAUUGUCCAGACAGAUCUGUGGAGUCAUGUGUGGCAUUCAGCUCCAGCUCGGAAAGGACUUGCUUCAUCUUUGCUGGGUUGAGAUGGAGAGGAUUAUGCAAAAAGGAACAUUCAGGACAUGACCUUAGGGAGCUGACUGGAGUCCUGACUGACAACCAACAAGGAAGUAAGAACUGUGGCUCUACGUUAGGAAGUCUCUAGAUCGUGCCAAAAAUUAGGAUAACCUUGGAAGCAGAUUGCUUUCUCCACAGGGUCCUUAGGCUCCAAAUAUAGUUAUAGAGGAAUUUUUGCAUGGUGAGACACGGAAUACACAGGUGAGCCCACAGAUAUACCGUACCUGCAGAGCUGUGAUAAGUAGACAUUUUCAGAUACUAGCUUUUCGAUAGUUUGUUGGAGUAGUGAUGGGAAAUGGGUAUGAGACCUAACAGAUUUGAGGGUUUUAUCACCAAUUUAGACAAAUUUGUCAGCUUUAUCUAGACUUGAUAAUUAGGCCUCCAAACUCAAGGAUACCUUUAUGUAAACAGCACACCAAUUAUUUUCUUUACUGGAAUUAGUAAUUAUUUAAAUGAAAUUUUGGAUAAAUUUUAAAUUCACUUUUUUGUAGUUCCCCUCCAUCUCUCUGACUUCCAGCUAGUUCAGACCAAUAAAGGAACCACUGAUUUGAUGCAAAUCAAAUCCACCUGUGUCAGCAUUUUAGCCCAGACCUUUGAUUCAACUCCCCUCUCUCCUUUCUUGUUUUCUUUUUAAGAAAUUUCUACAUGCUUCUCCAUAGGCAUGACAAGGAAAAGUGGAAACACAGUUCUCCAAAGUUCCUGGGUAUUUGUUCAGUUGUUUCUGAACACUCAGCACAAGGGAAUCACCCCUAUGAUAACAUACUUUGCUUUUAAAUUAUUCCUCAAUACUUCAUGCUACUCCUGAGAGUCAGUGAUGUAUUCUGAAAAAAAAAAGAAGUAUCUAUUUUAAGUAGCUAGCUCCGUAAGUGUUCCAGAGACAGAUGUCUGAAGAUCAUUCUCAAGCUUUUUUAAAGAUACACUUGAGGGA